AACGAACGCUGGCGGCAUGCCUAACACAUGCAAGUCGAACGAUCCCUUCGGGGAUAGUGGCGCACGGGUGCGUAACGCGUGGGAACCUGCCCUUAGGUUCGGAAUAACUCAGAGAAAUUUGAGCUAAUACCGGAUAAUGUCUUCGGACCAAAGAUUUAUCGCCUUUGGAUGGGCCCGCGUUGGAUUAGCUAGUUGGUGGGGUAAAGGCCUACCAAGGCGACGAUCCAUAGCUGGUCUGAGAGGAUGCUCAGCCACACUGGGACUGAGACACGGCCCAGACUCCUACGGGAAGCAGCAGUGGGGAAUAUUGGACAAUGGGCGAAAGCCUGAUCCAGCAAUGCCGCGUGAGUGAUGAAGGCCUUAGGGUUGUAAAGCUCUUUUACCCGGGAUGAUAAUGACAGUACCGGGAGAAUAAGCCCCGGCUAACUCCGUG
rnacentral:rRNA from 1 species